CAGUAGCCGCGGGAACACGGAGGGGGCUAGCGUUGUUCGGAAUUACUGGGCGUAAAGCGCACGUAGGCGGCUUUGUAAGUUAGAGGUGAAAGCCUGGGGCUCAACUCCAGAAUUGCCUUUAAGACUGCAUCGCUUGAACGUCGGAGAGGUGAGUGGAAUUCCGAGUGUAGAGGUGAAAUUCGUAGAUAUUCGGAAGAACACCAGUGGCGAAGGCGGCUCACUGGACGACUGUUGACGCUGAGGUGCGAAAGCGUGGGGAGCAAACAGGAUUAGAUACCCCCGUAGUCCCUGUCUCUUAUAC
rnacentral:rRNA from 1 species